UGCAUUAAUUUCAAGUAUAAGUCUCUAUAAAUUUCAAUUUUUUCUCUCUUGAUGUACUUUUUGUCUCACACAUGUUGGUUCUUUAUCAUGUAUUUUUGCAGGUACUUGCGGGGAAAGCAUCUAUGAUGAAUAUUUCCCACAUGAGGCUCCUGUGCUUAAACAUGAUCAACGAGGACUUCUAACUAUGAACAUUGCUGAUCGUUAUGGAAUUGGCUCACAUUUUACAAUCACAUUGAAUGGAGAUUCAAGUCUAGACAAGUUUCACGUGGUUUUUGGGAAGAUUAUUAAGGGAAUGAAAACAUUGGAUGAGAUUACAAAGGCACGUGGGUUACUAGUUCAAGUCUCAGAUUGUGGUCAACUUGAUCCAGACUUUGAACUUAAUCUAGACUUUGAUGACAUCUAGACUGUGAAUAUAAUCUGACCAAACUAGAUUAGGUAAGAGCUUCAAGGAGGGACAUUAAGGAAGGCUAGGAGGAAAUGAGGCUACAUUAAUGAGUUGUGUGACAUGUCCACUAUUUACAUUUGUGUUAAAUCCAAGAUAUUACGUUCUUUAGGACAUUUU